UAAUAAGCGGAGGAAAAGAAACUAACAAGGAUUCCCCCAGUAACGGCGAGUGAAGCGGGAAGAGCUCAAAUUUGAAAUCUCCGACGCUUGCGUCGGCGAGUUGUAGUUGCGAGAAGCACUUUCUCGGCGGAUCGGACGCGCCUAAGUUGCUUGGAACAGUACGUCGCAGAGGGUGACAACCCCGUCUGUGGCGCGUCCGGCCGCUCACGAUGCGCUUUCGAAGAGUCGGGUUGUUUGGGAAUGCAGCCCAAAACGGGUGGUAAACUCCAUCUAAAGCUAAAUACUGACGUGAGACCGAUAGCGA
rnacentral:rRNA from 1 species